CUUUAAUCUUAGCUGAAAGGCACUUGGAGGCCACAAUGUCAGCAGCUGUUGCCUCCAGGAUGAACUGUUAUUGGGGAUAAAGCAUUCGUAGGUAGUAGAUACCUUUAAUGUGACUUUUGGAGAUUCAUCCCUGGCCCAUAAAAAGAAGUCAAAGCAUUUCUCUCCACUAUUUUAAUCCUGGGCACACUAAAUGGAGACACCCUGAGUGAACUUGGAAGCAUUCUUGAAAAACAACAGUGUCUCCACCACAUCAAGGCUGAAGAUGAAUGGAGUUUCAGGGGUAUAGUCCGUGAACUGGAAAAAUGUGACAACAGAUGCAGGAGAUAGGAACUCAUAUGCUCUCCAUAGUCAAAACUGAGAGAGUUUGUGCUCUCAGCUGCUGCUUCAGCUCCAGCUCCCAUGUCUUCCUGCCACCUGCUACCUCCACUCUGCCAUCAUGGACUCUAACCCUCUAGAACCAUAACUCCAAUAUAAACCCUUCUACAAGC